AUUGAACGCUGGCGGCAGGCCUAACACAUGCAAGUCGAGCGGAUGAAGGGAGCUUGCUCCUGGAUUCAGCGGCGGACGGGUGAGUAAUGCAUAGGAAUCUGCCCGGUAGUGGGGGAUAACGUCCGGAAACGGGCGCUAAUACAGCAUACGUCCUGAGGGAGAAAGUGGGGGAUCUUCGGACCUCACGCUAUCAGAUGAGCCUAGGUCGGAUUAGCUAGUUGGUGGGGUAAAGGCCUACCAAGGCGACGAUCCGUAACUGGUCUGAGAGGAUGAUCAGUCACACUGGAACUGAGACACGGUCCAGACUCCUACGGGAGGCAGCAGUGGGGAAUAUUGGACAAUGGGCGAAAGCCUGAUCCAGCCAUGCCGCGUGUGUGAAGAAGGUCUUCGGAUUGUAAAGCACUUUAAUUUGGGAGGAAGGGCAGUAAGUUAAUACCUUGCUGUUUUGACGUUACCAACAGAAUAAGCACCGGCUAACUUCGUG
rnacentral:rRNA from 1 species